rnacentral:rRNA from 1 species
UGGGGAAUUUUGGACAAUGGGCGCAAGCCUGAUCCAGCCAUACCGCGUGAGUGAAGAAGGCCUUCGGGUUGUAAAGCUCUUUCAGACGGAAAGAAACGGUUACGGCUAAUACCCGUGACUAAUGACGGUACCGUAAGAAGAAGCACCGGCUAACUACGUGCCAGCAGCCGCGGUAAUACGUAGGGUGCGAGCGUUAAUCGGAAUUACUGGGCGUAAAGCGUGCGCAGGCGGUUUGGUAAGACAGAUGUGAAAUCCCCGGGCUUAACCUAGGAACUGCAUUUGUGACUGCCAGACUAGAGUGUAGCAAAGGGGGGUAGAAUUCCACGUGUAGCAGUGAAAUGCGUAGAUAUGUGGAGGAAUACCGAUGGCGAAGGCAGCCCCCUGGGCUAACACUGACGCUCAUGCACGAAAGCGUGGGGAGCAAACAGGAUUAGAUACCCACGUAGUCCCUGAGCGGGCUGGCAAG